rnacentral:rRNA from 1 species
GACGAACGCUGGCGGCGUGCCUAACACAUGCAAGUCGAACGAAGUGGCGAACGGGUGAGUAACGCUUAAUCAACCUGCCCUUCAGAGGGGGACAACAGUUGGACACGACUGCUAUGACCGCAUACUGAAGGAGGGGAUUGCGUGUGAUUAGCUGUUUGGAGGGGUAAUGGCCCACCAAGGCGAUGUCCAGUAGCCGGACUGGGAGGUGGACAGGCCACAUUGGGACUGGGACACGGCCCAGACUCCUACGGGAGGCAGCAGUGGGGAAUCUUCCGCAAUGGGGGGAAGUCUGACCGAGCAACGCCGCGUGAGUGAAGAAGGCCUUCGGGUUGUAAAGCUCUGUUAGUCAGGACGCGGUACCGGAAUAGAAAGCCACGGCUAACUACGUGCCAGCAGCCGCGGUAAUAC